CUCCUAGUUCCAUGCUUAGGCAUGGUCCAGAAAUUCCAUGUGGUACACAUUUUGUGAGCCUGUAAUACUGGCACUCAAGUCCAGUGCACAAAGUGGAAAGAAAUAUGGGAGGAAGUCCUAAGAGAAGCUCAGUGGACAGAGAUAUGCAGAUGGUGGUGGGGGCAUGACUUCCUAUGUGCCUCUGUGGGGGAAUAACUUCAGCAUGGAGAGGGACAAGGGUCUGGAUCAAGGGAGUUCAGAUCAUGGGUGGCUUAGGCAGGGGUUCUGGUGGGUGGGGACAGAAAUCUGUCAGCAAAUGAAGUCCAUCAGCCCAGAGCUGCUGAGCUGAAAGGGGAGAAGGAAGCCUUGGGGCUGAAUAUGACCAUCUUCUAGCAUUGGGGCUGAUGGCUGGGAAACUGAGGAAUGAGAGACUUCUGAGGCAAGACCUCUGUGCCAGUGGAGCAACAUACUUUGGCAGGAGCAAGUUUGUGCUCCUAAGAGUGAGGGGUCUUGCAGUUUGGAAACAUUUUUCUGUCAUUCAGGGAGAAAAAGGGUAUAUAAUUUUGAUCUGGUGAUCAACCAGCUCCUUAGCUGAUCUGAGCAUCACAAAUUAAACUGCCAUGGGCAGAAGGCACAUACAGCUCCUUCAAAAAUAUCCUUUCCUUCACACUGGGGUAAUCAGGAUGACUGCCACACUGGGUCUGCUCUGCCAUGCCAGAGCAUUUUUCCCUGGAGCCAUUGUCCCCCUAGAGGGGUGGCUGUUCCAACACCAGCACACUGUGUAACCUGACAUUGCUUCCACUGGGCACACACCCUCCCUUUUUGGCCCUUUCCCCCAAGAGAAGAUCCCUGUUCAGCCAAGCUGGUCUGUUUUCACAUCUGCUUGAUUUUGGAAUUGCCGGCUACCAUGCCCUUAGGAGGUGAUGUUUAAAAAGUUUAAAUGUUUAAAUUACACCAUUUGGGAAUGUUACUCUUGGAGUGUGGCAUCUCACUGGUCAGAGCUGGUUGCCUGAUUAUGCACCUGUAGCAAAAGCACUUUUCAGUGUUUCCUGAGGAGCCCCAUGGCUCCUCCCCAGCAGGGUCUCAGUCUCUGCUGCUUUUAAUGCCUCCUGGGAUGCCAUAGCUGCCAAAAGGGAGAAAUCCAGUCAAAAUUUGACUCAAGACUUGCCCUUGGUUCCAGCUGACCUUCUGACCCUGGAGUCUUCCUUCCACACCUUUGGCUGCCUCUCUUGCAGGUGGUUCUCCUGCCUUCUCCUUGCAGGUGUUUGGGCAGGGAAGAUUGUGCCUGAAGGCUGGGCAGGAUGCAGUUUGUCUUUCCAUUCCCCUUCCUGGGGACAUUUUACAGUAUUUAUGUCAUAAACAGGAAGCAACAAUUUCCAGGAACUAUUAUUGUUGGCUAAAUUUCAUCCCAAGCUUUCUAAAAGUAAUUUACUCACAGGAGUUUGCUUUGCAUAUCUGUGGGAAACCUCUUGUGUAAUAGUAUGUCAAUCACAAGCACGAAAGAAACAAACACCAAGUAAACAAGGAGAAAAACAUGCUUCAACCCUUUUUAUCUCAGCAAAACAAGUAAAUAUAGGUUACAGAAAAAUAAAAUGUGUCUUUGUCCUCCUGUGAAAUCAC